rnacentral:rRNA from 1 species
GGACCUGACUGCUAUCGGAUUGAUACUAAGCCAUGCGAGUCAUUGUAGCAAUACAAGGCAUACGGCUCAGUAACGCGUAGUCAACCUAACCUAUGGACGGGAAUAACCUCGGGAAACUGAGAAUAAUGCCCGAUAGAACAUUAUGCCUGGAAUGGUUUAUGUUCCAAAUGAUUUAUCGCCGUAGGAUGGGACUGCGGCCUAUCAGUUUGUUGGUGAGGUAAUGGCCCACCAAGACUAUUACAGGUACGGGCUCUGAGAGGAGUAGCCCGGAGAUGGGUACUGAGACACGGACCCAGGCCCUAUGGGGCGCAGCAGGCGAGAAAACUUUGCAAUGUGCGAAAGCACGACGAAGGUUAAUCCGAGUGGUUUCUGCUAAAGAAACCUUUUGUCGAGUCCUAGAAACACUGAUGAAUAAGGGGUGGGCGAAGUUCUGGUGU